rnacentral:rRNA from 1 species
UACGUAGGAGGCGAGCGUUGUCCGGAAUUACUGGGCGUAAAGAGCUCGUAGGUGGUUUGUCGCGUUGUUCGUGAAAACUCACAGCUUAACUGUGGGCGUGCGGGCGAUACGGGCAGACUUGAGUACUGCAGGGGAGACUGGAAUUCCUGGUGUAGCGGUGGAAUGCGCAGAUAUCAGGAGGAACACCGGUGGCGAAGGCGGGUCUCUGGGCAGUAACUGACGCUGAGGAGCGAAAGCGUGGGGAGCGAACAGG